GACGAACGCUGGCGGCGUGCCUAAUACAUGCAAGUAGAACGCUGAAGAGAGGAGCUUGCUCUUCUUGGAUGAGUUGCGAACGGGUGAGUAACGCGUAGGUAACCUGCCUUGUAGCGGGGGAUAACUAUUGGAAACGAUAGCUAAUACCGCAUAACAAUGGAUGACACAUGUCAUUUAUUUGAAAGGGGCAAUUGCUCCACUACAAGAUGGACCUGCGUUGUAUUAGCUAGUAGGUGAGGUAACGGCUCACCUAGGCGACGAUACAUAGCCGACCUGAGAGGGUGAUCGGCCACACUGGGACGGAGACACGGCCCAGACGCCUACGGGAGGCAGCAGGAGGGAAUCUUCGGCAAUGGGGGCAACCCUGACCGAGCAACGCCGCGUGAGUGAAGAAGGUUGUCGGAUCGUAAAGCUCUGUUGUAAGUCAAGAACGAGUGUGAGAGUGGAAAGUUCACACUGUGACGGUAGCUUACCAGAAAGGGACGGCUAACUACGUG
rnacentral:rRNA from 1 species